rnacentral:rRNA from 1 species
UACGAAGGGGGCUAGCGUUGCUCGGAAUCACUGGGCGUAAAGCGCACGUAGGCGGCUUUCUAAGUCAGGGGUGAAAUCCUGGAGCUCAACUCCAGAACUGCCUUUGAUACUGGAGAGCUUGAGUCCGGGAGAGGUGAGUGGAACUCCGAGUGUAGAGGUGAAAUUCGUAGAUAUUCGGAAGAACACCAGUGGCGAAGGCGGCUCACUGGCCCGGUACUGACGCUGAGACGCGAAAUCGUCGGGAGCAAACAGG